UCCCGUGCCGGGGAUCUCCUCCAAUUACUCCUCGCCUCUGUAAUUCUGAAGCGCUUUCUAACCUGACCUCCAGUUUGAGUCAUCUCACCUCUUCCCAACAGAGGGAGCUUUCUCACUUGAUUCAUUCCUUCUCAGAACUGUUUUCUGAUGUUCCCAGCCAAACCCACCAUAUCACUCAUGAUAUAUCUCUGACUGAUUCUGUCCCAGUUUGUUUACAUCCCUACAGGGCUAGCCCCAUGAAACGGGAGUUGAUGAAAGCUGAGGUAAACUACCUCCUGGAACAUGGCCUGGCCAAGAACAGCACCAGCUCCUGGAGCUCGCCCUGCUUUUUGGAAAAUAAGCCUGGUGGAGCUUAUCGGUUUGUUACAGAUUGUAGAAAACUAAAUGCAAAAACAGUACCUGAUUCAUUUCCUCUGCCCUGUGUUGAAGAUUGUGUUGACAGUGUUGGUUCUGCUUCUUUCUUUAGCAAGCUUGACUUGCUAAAAGGUAACUGGCAGGUGCCUUUGACUCCAUUCGCUUCUAAGGUUUCUGCCUUUGUUACUCCUGAUAACCUCCUGCAAUAUACAGUGCUACCUUUCGGUUUAAGAAAUGCUCCAGCUACUUUCCAGAGAUUAGUCAACCAGGUUUUAUCUAACAUCCCACACUGCAGUGCAUACCUGGAUGAUAUCGUGGUUUACUCACCUUCUUGGGAUCUUCACCUUCAGACCUUACAGCGGGUGUUUGAUAGACUCAAGUCUGCUAAUCUCACUUUAAAUCUCGCAAAAUGUGAGUUUGUUGAAGCUACUGUCCGGUGUCUGGGAAAAGAAGUGGGUCAAGGUCAAGUAAGGGCCCUUACUGACAAAAUCCAGGCCAUCAUCUCUUUUCCUCCACCUACCACUCGGAGGGAGCUAAGACGGUUCCUAGGCAUGACCGGUUAUUACCUAUGUUUUUGUAGGAACUUUUCAACGGUUGAAAAACCCUUAACUGACAUGUUGAGUACUAACAUUCCCUUUUCUUGCACCCCAGACUGUCACCAGGCUUUCCUUUCUCUUAGAAACCUGCUUUGUUGUGCUCCGAUCCUGGCUGCUCCUGACCUGUCCCGGCCAUUUAAACUUGAGGUGGAUGCCUGACGCUGGAGCAGGAGCUGUUCUCCUUCAAGAAGAUGCUGAUGGGCUUGAUCACCCCGUCUGCUAUUUUUCUAGAAAAUUCAUUCAGUCACAAUGCGCGUACUCCACCAUUGAAAAGGAAACCUUGGCUUUAAUUUGGUCUCUGCAACAUUUUCAUGUGUACAUCAACAGUCAUUUCACCACAGUUGUCUUUACAGAUCACAACCCGCUGACCUUCUUGGAGCGCAUGUUCAAUUCCAACCAGUGUCUGAUGAGAUGGGCCCUCCUCCUUCAAGAGUUCAACCUAGAAGACCGCCACAAGAAAGGGACGGACAACGUGAUGGCUGACGCGCUUUGGAGAAGUCAUGUAGAUUGAGGCUCCCUUGUAGAUUUUUUAAAAUUUUUAUGAUGUAAGCAUCUCAUGUAAGGCUAGUGUUGUCUGCGCAAGCGGACAUCUCGGGGACACUCCGCCGUGCUGGGGAUCAGCGCGGCAUGAUAUUUUGUGUUUAAUCUGCCCGCCUUCUGAGAUCCAGGAGUCAGUCAGUUAGUUAGUUAGUUGUUUUUGUGUGUGUAGUUAGCUAGCGGGAGCUCUCUUUAGUUUUGUACAGUUGCAACAACUCCUGUCAUUUGGUUCCUGGUAGUUGUUGUUUUGAGGGGGGAGGUGUAACAGACGCCGUCUGUUCUGUGGCCACUAGGUGCCCUCAGCGUCCCUACCUGCUCUCCUGGCUCUAGCUGAGCCAGGUGUAACUGAUUUCAGUCAGUGAUGCUCCUUGUUAAAAGGGUGCGCCAGGUGAUAUACAGCGGGGGAAGUUCAGAAGAGAACAGGCAGUAGUGUUUGCUAUCCUCUUUCCCUCCUCGUCCAGACGUUAAAGUCUCGUUUUGGUUACCUGUGUGGUAUUGGUAAACUCUUCCUAGUUUCUAGAGCUCGUUAGUGUUUAUUUGGCAUUCUCGUUAAAGAGAUCUAGCUCACCCUUCUGGUGGAGUUUCUUGUGUUAAUCCUGCUUUUUCCUUACCCGGUUUAAACCCCGGCACUUUGUGUUUAUUAUUAUCAUUAACUUUAAACCCCAGUUUUGGAUGACUUUUAUGUGUUUGUGACCUUUUAUGCUUUUCCUGCAUAAAGAAGAGACCCUUUUAGUUAAAGAAACUCCUUUAAGAGGGAGAAUCUUGGUUUGUUUCUGUUCACAACCACCUUUCUUUACGCCCUCUAACCAACAUCAUCUCCUAGUCGAGCUGGGGGCCGUAAAAGCCGGCAACCUUUCAAUAUAAGAUUAUGCAUCGGCCGGGCCAAGUUCACUCUAAUGCAGAUGUGUUAUCAUGCCUGCCAGCUGAUUUUGAACAGGUAGUAAACCCCCAAGAGGAGGAGGAUGAAACCCCCCAAACAAUGUGUGCGGUACAGCAGGUGGAAACAGUUUCCUCUAGGGUAGGGGAAACUGAUGAUUUGUCCAAGGCCCAGAAGGAGGAUGUAGAGUUGGCACAGAUUAUUGCCCUCAAAAAUGGCCGUGGAGGGUUGCAUCCUCCACCACAGUUACAGAAGUUUGAAACGGUGUGGGCUCAGUUGCAGAUUAAGGGAGGGAGGUUGGUUAGGGUGCUGCCAGCCAAUUUGGAUGCAGCAAAGCAGGUUCAAGUGGUUCUCCCGAAGUCCUUUAUACCAAAGGUCAGCUACAUGACUCAGUGACAGCGGGUCAUUUGGGGGUCCACAAGCUGCAGGCUAAAAUAAAAGACAGAUUUUAUUGGCCUGGUUGGUUUGAGGAUGUGAGAUGAUGGUGUCGUGAGUGUAAGGACUGUGGUUCAAGAAAGACGGCUGGACCUCAGUUUUGUGCUCCACUGCAAGUUACUGUAGCAUCAAGGCCUUUUGAGCGGGUCGCAAUGGACAUUUUGGGGCCAUUGCCAGAAACUCAUAUGAAAAACAAAUACAUUCUGGUCAUUGGCAUUUUUCCAAGUGGGCUAAGGACUUUACUUUUUCAAAAUCAGGAAGCUCGGGCUGUUGCCAAGGUGAUGGCUGAACAAUGGGUUUGCCGGUUGGGGACUCCUAGUUCCAUUCACACAGAUCAAUGGAGGAAUUUUGAAUCGGGCUUAUCCAGGGAACUCUGUGAUCUGUUAAACAUUCAUAAAUCCGGAACAUCUCCAUACCACUCUCAAUCAGAUGGAUUAGUAGAAAGGUUCAACAGAACUUUGCUGUCAAUGUUGUCCUUGUUUGUAGUGGAAAAUCAGGCUAACUGGGACUCAUUACUGCCUUAUGUGAUGCUGGCAUACUGAAGCAGUGUGCAUUCUAGCACGGGUUUUACACCUUAUAAGGUUUUGUUUGAGCAGGAAAUAGUGCUACCUGUGGAUGUAAUGUGGGCCCUGGAGGGAGAGAAACCUUUGGUAGUUACAGACUAUGUGUCUAGGCUGAGGGACACAUUGACACUUGUGGUGGAAGCAGUAAAAAGACACCAGUCUAUGGCUUCAGAGAGGCAAAAAGAGGCCUUUGAUAUGAAAGUGAGGUGGCAGUACUAUUUUGAAGGAGAGUUGGUCUGGGUUUGAACCAAGGCUAGGAAAGGGGGAGUCUGUCCAAAAUUGCAAAGGGGAUUCAGUGGCCCAUACAGGAUUAUGGAAAGAAUUCCCUAUAUUCUGUAUAGGGUGGUUCUGCAAGAGGGAGGAACUGAAAGUGUUGUACACUUCAACAGACUUAAGCCUUUUCUUUGCCCUGUGUCACAGUCCAAAUGCCAUGGAGAACUACAGAGACAACAGAGCCAGGAUCGACAGAUGGGCCUUGAAAGGAGUGGAGGCUAAACAUGAUGGAGGACGCCAGAGAACAGAGGAUGGCAAAGGGGCGUGGGGCAACGGGCUAAUCGAGGACCCCUGACUGACAGACGGGCGACACCGAUGAGGUCACCGGGACAGCCACUGGGAGAUCUGGAACUGGCAGCUGCCCAAGGAGUGGAAGGACAGUCCAAUCACCAAGAAGAAUUACGGGCAUGGCAGAGCAUGGAUCAGCAGAUGGUCCCUGGGAGGAGUGGUGACUCGACACGAUGGCAAACACCAGAGAACAGAGGACAGCAGGAGGACAUGAGUUGGAAAGGAACCUCCUGCUGUCUGUGGAGGAUCCCACUGCGCCGAUCUAGCGGACUUCCUUGCUCAGACUGAAUGAGACCGGGACCGCAUAGCAUCGGUGUACAAGCCUAGACCCCGAGGGAGGGCCUUGACCUUCAGGGACAGCUAAGUGCUUUUUAACUUUAUUCCUUUUGUUUAUUGCUGUGGCCAUUUUAAGAGUUUUCACCUGGUUGUGGAGGAUUUACAGCCUGGUUUACUGGGGGUGUGUGCAGUGGCUUAGCAGCCCAUCUCUCAUGGGUGGGUUUGCUGUAUAGCAGGUUGGGCUCAGGGGCAGUGAAGGGUGGUGUGCGGUUGUGAAGUGCAGUGCCCUUUUGGGAUGUUGUGGAGUCGAUACCUAAUCAUUGGGCUGUCAGUCUGACCCCAACCUGGAACGGGCUUGUUAUUUAUGUAAGAAAUUGGGGAUAAAUAUAGUUGCUUUUCAUCUUAAUAUAUUACCUCUACAUAUGACCAAUAAGCUGUGAUAUUCUAUAUAAAUAUAGGUUAUCAACCUUAUUAGUCUUUGAAUGUUUAAUCAGAAGAUUCUAGGAUUCUUACUUACUUACAUUUUUACUGUGAUUGCCUGUUUUUCUGUAAAAUCACAGAAAAAGAGAGAUGCUCGGGUCGAGCAGGCUGCUUCAUGCACGUUCACGCUCAGGCAUAGCCCUCCGAACUGUUCUUAAAUGGUACAGAUACAGAUGAUGUCACUGGUGUGUUAGCUCGCCUAGUAAGUUGUCGGACUUUCGUGCAGAAGACCCGGGUUUGCUUCUGGAUGUGAACAUAGUUUAUUUAGAGUUUCUUUUUUACAUUAAUGGUAUAAUUUUUUUACAGCAAGAUGCCCAAAUUUUUAUUUGAGACUAGCCGAACAGCAUUGAAUUCACAGAUUAAAAAAAUGUGGGUUCAACUUUCAUUUUGGAACAAUUUUUCAAGAGCAUGAAGGAGGACUGACCCAUCUUAAACCUUUGCCGGCUGUGCUGAAGAGAAAGGUACAGAACGAAAUUAUUUAAUUAAUUAGCUGCGGAUUCUCCUGUCCUCUGUCCUCCAGGCCACACACACACACACACACACACACACACACACACACACACACACACACACACAGAGCUGACUGUCUCAGCUGUUAUUUUCGUUAAGGAGUGUGCACGUACAGCAUGCGCGCCUCGUGCACGAGCCUACUAUUGAAGCUGCCGUUACGCUUUUGGCCUGAGGGGGCAAUCGCGACCAUAAAAAUUCAAAACUCUGUUAAGUCCCUUUAAAUAAGACGACUGUGAUGCAUGAAUAUAAGUGGAUGGGAUGUGAUGUUUGGUGAUUGAAUGGUGUGUGUUUAUCAGAACCUUGUAUCUAGAAGAAACUGAGUUCUGGGUGUGAAAAGAAUUUGGUCUGCAUUAAACUAUGAAGUUGGUUCUUAUCAAAACGGCAUCAGACACAAUUGAUGCUGUGUCUACCUCACCCUUUUUGGAGACCCUCUUCGCGGAUCCGGAGGUCAGGCAGGUCGGAUGACCUCUAGGCACCGAGGUUCAGUAGAUUAACCACAGCACCGACGCUCCAGUCCAGAGAUGUCACCAGGAACAACAGGUUGGAACGAGUUUGCAUCUAGAACAGCUGUUUCUGAAUAGCUGAAGGAACCUGGAGUAGGAAGUGAUGCCACCAUCAGCGUCAGCUCUGAAGAUGUUUGCAGCUGCAAACGAAACCUUCAGCAAGAGCUGCAGAGGCUCGGACUCCAGCUGAUGGAAUGGCAGGAUCCGGCAGAUUAAAGACAACAAAUGUAGACUCCUGUCUCCAUGUGACCAGAUACUGAAGAGGUCAAACUGUAUGCUCCGGCAGGGCACAGGGUCGGGGACUGAAGCUCAGAAAGUUAUGUUACUGAUCCACAAGAAAAAAAAA